AUGGCACCCGAGACGCGUCUGCAGCCAGAACCAACGAAGUUGCAGUACAAGAAGCUGGGAGAUUCAGAUCUCCUUAUCGUCGAGAUAACUCUUGAAACAGUACAUAACAUUCAGCCUGAAAUGAUGUUGGUGCUUCGUGAAAAGUUUGGCCACUUGAACCUGACAUUUUCUAUUGGAGAGCAGAUCAGUUCUAAUGGCGUAAUUUUGAUUGCAAUGAUAUCGAUGGCGCCGAGAGGAGGCAAAGCGGCAAGAUGCGUUUUACCAUGCUGGGUCAAAAGCCGGCCAGAACGUGUCACCGGCAUGUGCUGGGUUGCUGAUCGAUUUCUUGCUUUGCUUACAGUUCACCAAUGGAUUGUGGGUAAGAACGGAUUAAAGAAGGAUGAUGCUGGAGAUGUGAAAAUAAUGUUUGAUGAGUGUUUUGCUUGGAUCUAUGGGCACUCCAAUCAUUCAGAAAAAAUAUGCACACUCUCUAAAACUUUAGGUUCACAGAACUUGAUUAAUCUAAAUGUGAGGCAUUGUACAAUUAUGAAUGUUAGUGAUGGUGGAUUUUUAGUCUUCAUGUUAUGUUCAUCUUCCUUUGGUGUUUAG
rnacentral:rRNA from 1 species